rnacentral:rRNA from 1 species
AGUGGCGGACGGGUGAGUAAUGUCUGGGAAACUGCCCGAUGGAGGGGGAUAACUACUGGAAACGGUAGCUAAUACCGCAUAACGUCGCAAGACCAAAGUGGGGGACCUUCGGGCCUCACACCAUCGGAUGUGCCCAGAUGGGAUUAGCUAGUAGGUGGGGUAAUGGCUCACCUAGGCGACGAUCCCUAGCUGGUCUGAGAGGAUGACCAGCCACACUGGAACUGAGACACGGUCCAGACUCCUACGGGAGGCAGCAGUGGGGAAUAUUGCACAAUGGGCGCAAGCCUGAUGCAGCCAUGCCGCGUGUAUGAAGAAGGCCUUCGGGUUGUAAAGUACUUUCAGCGGGGAGGAAGGCGGUGAGGUUAAUAACCUCGCCGAUUGACGUUACCCGCAGAAGAAGCACCGGCUAACUCCGUGCCAGCAGCCGCGGUAAUACGGAGGGUGCAAGCGUUAAUCGGAAUUACUGGGCGUAAAGCGCACGCAGGCGGUCUGUUAAGUCAGAUGUGAAAUCCCCGGGCUUAACCUGGGAACUGCAUUUGAAACUGGCAGGCUUGAGUCUCGUA